rnacentral:rRNA from 1 species
AAUCAACGCUGGCGGCGUGCCUAACACAUGCAAGUCGAACGAGAAAGUGGGGGCAACUCCAUGAGUACAGUGGCAGACGGGUGAGUAACACGUGUACAAUCUACCCUCGAGUGGGGAAUAACACCGCGAAAGCGGUGCUAAUACCGCAUAACAUCUCCGGAUCGCAUGACCUGGAGAUCAAAAGCGCAAGUUGCUCGAGGAGGAGUUCGCGCCUGAUUAGCUAGUUGGUGAGGUAACGGCCCACCAAGGCAACGAUCAGUAGCCGGCCUGAGAGGGCGAACGGCCACACUGGAACUGAGACACGGUCCAGACUCCUACGGGAGGCAGCAGUGGGGAAUUUUGCGCAAUGGGCGAAAGCCUGACGCAGCAACGCCGCGUGGAGGAUGAAGGCCUUCGGGUCGUAAACUCCUGUCAGUGGGGACGAAUGCUUCGCAAGAAGUUUGACUGUACCCGCUGAGGAAGCCACGGCUAACUCCGUGCCAGC